CCAGCAGUCGCUCGGUCGGACAUUACCGUUUCUUUUAACCCGCAGAAGACAAAAUUACUUCCUAAAGAAAUGCUGGUGCAGGUGGAGCAUCAGGCAGUCCAGAAAUGGGUUCGGGUUCCAGUGACAGAUGACUGCUAUGAUUACUUGAAAUUCAUUCAAGAGGUUCAUGCUAAAUUCAACUUGGCAAGUG